rnacentral:rRNA from 1 species
CAGCAGCCGCGGUAAUACGAAGGGGGCUAGCGUUGUUCGGAUUUACUGGGCGUAAAGCGCACGUAGGCGGACUUUUAAGUCAGGGGUGAAAUCCCGGGGCUCAACCCCGGAACUGCCUUUGAUACUGGAAGUCUUGAGUAUGGUAGAGGUGAGUGGAAUUCCGAGUGUAGAGGUGAAAUUCGUAGAUAUUCGGAGGAACACCAGUGGCGAAGGCGGCUCACUGGACCAUUACUGACGCUGAGGCACGAAAGCGUGGGGAGCAAACAGGAUUAGAUACCCGAGUAGUCCCUGUCUCUUAUAC